AUGCGUCGAGACCAUCGUUGCAACGUUGCGACCUCUGCCCCGGAGUACCUCAAGUUCGUCUACAUGAAACUGCCAAGUACCUCUACGCACGGAUACCGUCAAGUACCUACACCGGCAAGGCUACACGGACGUUCGUUCCACUACAACACCGAAAUGUCAAGGUCGACUAUGUUUUGUUGCCCCGUCCGUAGUCGUCAAGUACCCGAAGACCGUAUUGGCACCAAGUACAUCAAGCGUCGUCUUCGGAAUCGCUAA
rnacentral:rRNA from 1 species